UCAACCAGCACCAUGUGCUUUACCCUACAGGACAGUGAAGAGGAAAGGUCAGCCCCACGGCUCAACCAGCACCAUGUGCUUUACCCUACAGGACAGUGAAGAGGAAAGGUCAGCCCCACGGCUCAACCAGCACCAUGUGCUUUACCCUACAGGACAGUGAAGAGGAAAGGUCAGCCCCACGGCUCAACCAGCACCAUGUGCUUUACCCUACAGGACAGUGAAGAGGAAAGGUCAGCCCCACGGCUCAACCAGCACCAUGUGCUUUACCCUACAGGACAGUGAAGAGGAAAGGUCAGCCCCACGGCUCAACCAGCACCAUGUGCUUUACCCUACAGGACAGUGAAGAGGAAAGGUCAGCCCCACGGCUCAACCAGCACCAUGUGCUUUACCCUACAGGACAGUGAAGAGGAAAGGUCAGCCCCACGGCUCAACCAGCACCAUGUGCUUUACCCUACAGGACAGUGAA